rnacentral:rRNA from 1 species
CAUGCUAGAGCACUUUUUCAAUGUGCUCCCCAACGAGAAGGCGACGACGCAUUCCUAUGUCAAUCCAUAUCAACUUUCGAUGCCAUUGACUGCGCCUACCAUGGUGACCACGGGUAACAGGGAAUCAGGGUUCGAUUCCGUACAGGUACCCUGACAAACGGCUACCACAUGCAAGGAAGGCAG